UACGUAGGGGGCGAGCGUUGUCCGGAUUUAUUGGGCGUAAAGAGCUCGUAGGCGGUUCGAUAAGUCGAUGUGAAUAUCCACGCUCAACGUGGAGGGGCCAUUCGAUACUGUCGUGACUCGAGUCCGGUAGGGGAGUGUGGAAUUCCCGGUGUAGCGGUGAAAUGCGCAGAGAUCGGGAGGAACACCCGUAGCGAAGGCGGCACUCUGGGCCGGUACUGGACGCUGAGGAGCGAAAGCGUGGGGAGCAAACAGG
rnacentral:rRNA from 1 species